UACGGGGGGGGCAAGCGUUGUUCGGAAUUACUGGGCGUAAAGGGCGCGUAGGCGGCCUUCUAAGUCGGACGUGAAAUCCCUCGGCUCAACCGAGGAACUGCGUCCGAUACUGGCAGGCUGGAAUCCGGGAGAGGGAUGUGGAAUUCCAGGUGUAGCGGUGAAAUGCGUAGAUAUCUGGAGGAACACCGGUGGCGAAGGCGGCAUCCUGGACCGGUAUUGACGCUGAGGCGCGAAAGCUAGGGGAGCAAACGGG
rnacentral:rRNA from 1 species